GAUGAACGCUGGCGGCGUGCCCAAUACAUGCAAGUCGAGCGAACAGACGAGGAGCUUGCUCCUCUGACGUUAGCGGCGGACGGGUGAGUAACACGUGGAUAACCUACCUAUAAGACUGGGAUAACUUCGGGAAACCGGAGCUAAUACCGGAUAAUAUAUUGAACCGCAUGGUUCAAUAGUGAAAGACGGUUUUGCUGUCUCUUAUAGAUGGAUCCGCGCCGCAUUAGCUAGUUGGUAAGGUAACGGCUUACCAAGGCAACGAUGCGUAGCCGACCUGAGAGGGUGAUCGGCCACACUGGAACUGAGACACGGUCCAGACUCCUACGGGAGGCAGCAGUAGGGAAUCUUCCGCAAUGGGCGAAAGCCUGACGGAGCAACGCCGCGUGAGUGAUGAAGGUCUUCGGAUCGUAAAACUCUGUUAUUAGGGAAGAACAAAUGUGUAAGUAACUAUGCACGUCUUGACGGUACCUAAUCAGAAAGCCACGGCUAACUACGUG
rnacentral:rRNA from 1 species